GAGGCAUUAGUAAAAUUUACGUAACUUUGUCGAAGUUAAAUUAUAGGUUUAAGCCCUUUAUGCCUCU
rnacentral:tRNA from 1 species